GACGAACGCUGGCGGCGUGCUUAACACAUGCAAGUCGAACGGAAAGGCCCCUUCGGGGGUACUCGAGUGGCGAACGGGUGAGUAACACGUGAGUAACCUGCCCUUGACUUCGGGAUAACUUCCGGAAACUGGGGCUAAUACCGGAUAGGAAUCCUUGCUGCAUGGUGGGGGUUGGAAAGCUUCGGCGGUUUUGGAUGGACUCGCGGCUUAUCAGCUUGUUGGUGGGGUAGUGGCUUACCAAGGCUUUGACGGGUAGCCGGCCUGAGAGGGCGACCGGCCACAGUGGGACUGAGAUACGGCCCAGACUCCUACGGGAGGCAGCAGUGGGGAAUAUUGAACAAUGGGCGGAAGCCUGAUGCAGCACCGCCGCGUGCGGGAUGACGGCCUUCGGGUUGUAAACCGCUUUCAGCAGGGGCGAAGCUUGUGGUGACGGUACCUGCAGAAGAAGCACCGGCUAACUACGUG
rnacentral:rRNA from 1 species